rnacentral:rRNA from 1 species
UGCCAGCAGCCGCGGUAAUACAGAGACCCCGAGCGUUGACCGGAUUUAUUGGGCGUAAAGCGUGCGUAGGUGGUUUUGUAAGUCAUUUGUUAAAUCUUCAGGCUCAACCCCGGAACUGCCUCUAAUACUGCUAGUCUUGAGUUCGAGAGAGGUGAGUGGAAUUCCGAGUGUAGAGGUGAAAUUCGUAGAUAUUCGGAGGAACACCAGUGGCGAAGGCGGCUCACUGGCUCGAUACUGACGCUGAGGUGCGAAAGCGUGGGGAGCAAACAGGAUUAGAUA